ACAGGUGCCCUAGCCCCGCCCUUGACCCCUGACCUUCCGUGGGAGGCCCAGACCAGCAAAAUGAGCAGUGGCAGCCGGGUGCAUCCUCCCCGGCAGGGCGGGCUGGGCCAGGGGCAGCCUUUCCCCCUCCCCGAUUCUGAUGGGAUACUGCGCCUCGCUCCCGGCACAGAGGUCCUCGCCCGGGCAGGGCCGGUCUCCCUUCCCAGGACGGGCUCCGUUGGCGCCUGGACUCACUCACUGGCACAGCGGGCAGGGGCCCUGAGGCCAGGACACUGCAGGGUGAGGACAUAGCUGAUGCAAGAAACGCCAGGAAGAGUUCAAAGCAGAGGGAACAGCAAGUAGAAGGUCCCAGGAGCUGGAGUUAAUUUACAGGAAAGAAAAGAAGACCAAUGUGGAUGGAGGGACCUUGACGGAGCUGUCCGGUUGGAGAGCUGUCCGGAGCUGUUGGACCAAAGCCUGACCAGAGCGGGUACCACCGAAUAUGGGAA